UACGUAGGGUGCGAGCGUUAAUCGGAAUUACUGGGCGUAAAGAGUGCGUAGGCGGUUCGUUAAGUCAGCUGUGAAAGCCCCGGGCUCAACCUGGGAACUGCGGUUGAAACUGGCGAACUAGAAUCUGGCAGAGGGGGGUGGAAUUCCACGUGUAGCAGUGAAAUGCGUAGAGAUGUGGAGGAACACCGAUGGCGAAGGCAGCCCCCUGGGCUGAGAUUGACGCUCAGGCACGAAAGCGUGGGGAGCAAACAGGAUUAGAUACCCUGGUAGUCCACGCCCUAAACGAUGUCAACUAGGUGUUGGAGGAGCAAUCCUUUGGUACCGCAGCUAACGCGUGAAGUUGACCGCCUGGGGAGUACGGUCGCAAGAUUAAA
rnacentral:rRNA from 1 species